UUGGAGCACGGCUUUUCUUGGAUUAAAGAGCACUGUUGGAAAACCUGAAGGCCCUGCGUCUGAGUCCUGCCCUCCUCUGAUGUUUUUGACUUCGGAGGUGAACCUCUGCACGCGUACCCCAACUCACCGGCUCUCCAUCCCUGCCAGAUGGCAUCAGUGCAAAGCUGCGAGCAGAGGAAGAAUCAAAGCUCCCUGCGAGUCCCACCCUCCCGGCGCCGCGUGAGCCCGGUGAACCCGGGGAAAGACGGAAGAGAAAAGAUUCCGCAUCGAAGCACAAACUUAAUCGAGUCGGUCGUUGCACCCCCUCAAUGGAACAAUGGCAGAAAGAAAUCCCAGAAGGACAGCGACACUUUCGGCGAACCUCGAGCUCCUCGCUCCCCCGCCGGCAUUGAAACGACACAAAGACGCUU